GGCUGGACUGUGUGGUCGAGGGUUGUCAUACAACUCCUCUGGACCCCAGCGUUCUCCGGAUACUGGCCAUUGUGAUCCUCGUCUUACUGGUCGUGAGCAUUCAUCCAGUGGGUAGGUGCCCGUGAGCGGGGCUGCAGCCUCUGCCUGCCGCACGCCAGCUGACUUGGCUGCGGCAGGGUCUGGCAGCUCCCGCCAGGAGCCCUCCCGCGAGUCAAAGGUUUGUUGUCAUUUUCCCAAACUGCACAACGUGGAGACAGCUGUCUUGUUGGAACCUGGGUGCCUGGGCCCUGGGAGAAGUAGGUGAAAGGUCCUGGCGAGACACAGGCAGAUCUGUCUCAAGUCCUGGCUGGUGUCACUUCUGGGGGAAGACUGGAUGUCGACUGGACUUCCGGUGUGGUGUUGAUGGGAGUGGUGAAGAAUCUUGCUUUGCCUUGUGUUGGAUCUAGAGGGAAGAGCUUCAUUCUUCCACCAUAAAAAUGACCAUUCUUAUUGGACGUUUGUACGUGACCUUUACCAGGUUAAGGCAAUUUCCUGUUGCUCGCAGUCGGCUGAGAGUUGUUACCGUGAGUGGAUGUUGAAUUUUGUCAAAUGUGUAUUCUGCGUCUAUUCAGCAACCACAUGGUCUUCUUCUUCAAGCUGUUAGUACUGUGGGACACGUUGAUCGAUUUUCAAUUUGUGAACCAACCAAGAAUUCCUGGAAUAAACCUCUGUUGCUCGUGCCAUGGUUAAGUAAGGGUGACUUGCACACAGGUGCUGUGGUACCACAACUGAACUGACAAGCAACGUGACCCAGUGGCUAGUGGGCAGGCACACGUCCAGCAGGGGAGAAGCCAGACGAAGGGACGGAUCGU